GACGAACGCUGGCGGCGUGCUUAACACAUGCAAGUCGAACGGAAAGGCCUGCUUUCCCUUGUGGAUUGCGGGUACUCGAGUGGCGAACGGGUGAGUAACACGUGAGUGAUCUGCCCCCAACUUGGGUAUAAGCCUGGGAAACUGGGUCUAAUUCCCGAUAGGACUGCAGGGUGGUGCCUGUGGUGGAAAACGAUUUUCUAGUGGUUGGGGAUGAGCUCGCGGCCUAUCAGCUUGUUGGUGGGGUAAUGGCCUACCAAGGCGGCGACGGGUAGCCGGCCUGAGAGGGUGGACGGGCACAUUGGGACUGAGAUACGGCCCAGACUCCUACGGGAGGCAGCAGUGGGGAAGAGUGCACAAUGGGCGGAAGCCUGAUGCAGCGACGCCGCGUGGGGGAUGACGGCCUUCGGGUGGUAAACUCCUUUCGACCGCGAGGAAGCCACCUGGUUGGAAGGGUGGUGACGGUAGUGGUAGAAGAAGCACCGGCUAACUACGUG
rnacentral:rRNA from 1 species